CAAACGACUCUCGGCAACGGAUAUCCCGGCUCUCGCAUCGAUGAAGAACGUAGCGAGAUGCGAUACUUGGUGUGAAUUGCAGAAUCCCGUGAACCAUCGAGUCUUUGAACGCAAGUUGCGCCCGAAGCCAUUAGGCUGAGGGCACGUCUGCCUGGGUGUCACG
rnacentral:rRNA from 2 species